rnacentral:lncRNA from 1 species
CAGCUGGUACCUGGGAUCGGGCAGGACGGUCCUCUUGCUGGCGCGGGCGGCCGGAGUCGCCUUGCUCUUCUCCAUGGCCAUCAGGUAAUGAUGAAGCCCCUGCUCUGGUCCAAGCUACCUGUGAACAGCGCCCAGCGGGCCGGGCCCCCAACCUCGCUCCUGAACGUACCCGCAAGCCCGCCGUGAGAAUUCAGCGAAGAGUAAAGGCUGGAGAAAGUUGCGUGUCUCAGGCUAAGCAGAGCAAAGUGGGGUGAGGGCUUCGCCGCUAGGAACAGAGAUGCCCUUAGGGAGCCCCCUGAUGGAAGAGCUCUCUGCUUAAGAAGUUUUACCACGUUUUUCAAGAUCCAAGGCACAAUAGGCAUAAAGUUAUCCUGAAAAGGACAAGAGGAGUGUCAGAAGUAGGAAUGGCAGUCGAAGGAGCUUCGUCUGGCAGCAGAAAGCCAAAAUGACAGGCAAGCACAAAAUAUAUUAAUGAGACAAAGCUAUGCAUGAGCGAAAUAUCAAACUUUCAUCUUCUACCCACUUUUUUUUUUUUUUGCUUAAAAAUAGGAAGACAGAAUGUCUUGUCAAGGGUCACCCCAGGAGGAGGAGUAAAUUCUCCAAAAAUCAGAACAUAUUUUUAUGAUUUAAUUAAUGCAAUUUCUCUCAAUGUUUCUGUUUGUCAUUUGAGCAUCCACAUGAUCAGACCUGACAUCUGCCUACAUUUUAUUGGUCAUCUUUGACUUCAGUUAAGAACCCUUUGGGUUUUGCUUUUUGCUUUUUUUUCCCCCCAGCAGCACACUGUAGUAAGUUUGGAACAAGACACACCUGAAAUCAAGUCCCUGCUCUGGGCUGGGUGAUCUUAGAGGCAAUCUCUUAACCUCAUUCUACUUUAUUGUUCUCAUAGGAAAAGUGGAAAUGAGGCCUUUUACCCCAGGGUUGUUGAGAAGACAGGGGAGAAAAAGCACAUAAAAAUGCACCUUGUCGGGCGCAGUGGCUCACACCUGUAAUCCUGCACUUUGGGAGU